rnacentral:tRNA from 1 species
AAUGGAUUUAAGCCCCAUAUAUAAAGUUUUCUUUUUUUAGAA